rnacentral:rRNA from 1 species
UACGAAGGGGCUAGCGUUGCUCGGAAUUACUGGGCGUAAAGGGCGCGUAGGCGGAUACUUAAGUCGGGGGUGAAAGCCCAGGGCUCAACCCUGGAAUAGCCUUCGAUACUGGGUAUCUUGAGUUCGGGAGAGGUGAGUGGAACUCCGAGUGUAGAGGUGAAAUUCGUAGAUAUUCGGAAGAACACCAGUGGCGAAGGCGACUCACUGGCCCGAUACUGACGCUGAGGCGCGAAAGCGUGGGAGCAAACAGGG